AUCACAAAUGCUCAGACAGAGCAGAAGGUUCCCAACAGGCUGCGCCUGCGCUGGACCACCCCCUUUCCUCCUUCCUUCAGCUGCCCCUCUUUCUGGAUGGGUAAAAGCACUUCCAUGUUUUCAGAGGCGUGGAGGGAGCCCGAGAAGAGCAGAUGUUGACACCACCAUCACUGCCUGCAGCAGUGAGACCAGGGGCACAGUUUUUGUUGAAAGGGUCGACCAGGAAGCACUUCCUUGACUCUGUCCUAAAGCCUCUGGAGAGCCCUUAAAUUUGUGGUCCUUGAAGCUAUUGUAAAGGUAUUAUUCAGGAACAAGAUGGGCAAAACAUGAAUAGGACAAGCUUUCUGCUCUCCAGGGACUCCCUUGAAGAUGUGUCACAACCCCAAGCCAGUAUGUGUUAACCUUCAGGAUGACACCACCCUCGACACUCACUUCAUGAUGGCCUGCACAUCUGACCUUGUGCAGGAGCCUGCAGCGUGGGAUUGAGCAGCCUCCUGCUCCAGCCAGCUGACUGCCCCUCAGAGGGGACUGAGGUGACAAAACAGGAUCCCAUCAUUUGGUAAACAGGACUCAAGCAUGAAGUCUGAGGGGUGUGGGGAGGUGCAGGGUGGGUAGCAAAUGGCUGUGAAAAGCAAGAGACUUUCCACGGGCAAAGCUAAGUCUAGAUGUACCCAGAUUAGCGACUUUUCCUUAAAAGGUUUUUCCAGCCAGGAGCAAGGGACUGGGUGAAUCAUCCCUAAGACGGGUGACAGGAGGCAGGAAUAAAGCAUGAAUAAAGCAUCAGGAAGGGACUAGGAUUUAAAACUGGCCCCUCAAUGCUUCUACACUGCUGGUGAGAAUGUAAGUUAGUUCAGCCACUGUGGAAAGCUGUCUGGAGAGUUCUCAAAUAACUUAAACUAGAACUACCAUUUGACCUAGCAAUCCCAUUUACUGGGUAUAUGCCCAAAGGAAUACAAAAUAUUCUACCAUAAAGACACACACAGGCAUAUAUUCAUCACAGCACUGUUUACAAUAGCAAAGACCUAGAUGCCCAUCGAUGGUGGAUUGCAUAAAGAAAAUGUGGUGCAUAUACAACAUGGAAUACUGUGCAGCCACAGAAACGAAUGAAAUCAUGUCCAUUACAGCAACAUGGAUAGAGCUGGAGGCCAUUACCCUAAACAAAUUAACGCAGGAACAGAAAACUAAAUACUGCAUGUUCUUACUUAUAAGUGGGGGCUCAACAUUGAGUAGACAUGGACAUAAAGAUGGGAGCAGAGGACACUGGGGACUCCUGGUGGGGGAGGAUGGGAGGAGGGUGAAGACAGAAAAACUACCUAUUGGGUAUUACGCUGAUUACCUGGGUGACAAAAUUAUUUGUAUACCAAAACCCCAUGAUAUGCAAUUUACUCAUGUAACAAACCUGCACACCUACCCCUUGAACCUAAAAUAAAAGUUGGAAAUAAAAAAAAAACUGGCUCCUCUAUCUGGGCUCCUCUCCCUUCUUAAGUCCUAGGAGAGUUGGCCAACGAGGCCCUGAGUCCAGACACGCCCCACCUUGGCCCAGUGUCCACCUGCACCUGCUCACAUUCCCACGUGCCACCAUUCCUUGAUGCAGCUCACUCUCUAGACCAGUGGCUCCCAGCCACUGGGGUGCAUGAGAGUUUCCUGAGGAGCCGAGGUACAUGUGUGCUCAAGUCAGCAUCCAGACCCACUGGGUCCAGUCUCCAGGCUGGCCCAGUUUGAGAGGUGGGUUUAGAGAGUUUCUCUGCAAUAGCACUGGGAAUACCUACUGCUGAUGGAGCACCUAGAUGGAUGCUCAGACUCAGAGGUGACUCGGAGGGCUUCACAAACAUAAUCAUAAAGAUCCUUUGAACACUGAGGCUCAUGAAGGUCAAGUCACUCUCCCAAAGUCACUCAGCUGAGAAUAGCACUAGGAUGAGAACCCCUUAUUUUAUUUUAGUUUUUGAGACGGAGUCUCGUUCUGUCAUCCAGGCUGGAGUGCAGUGGCAUGAUCGGCUCACUGCAACCUCCACCUCCCGAGUUCAAGCAAUUCUCCUGCCUCAGCCUCCCGAGUAGCUGGGAUUACAGGCACGUGCCACCAUGCCUGGCUACUUUUUUGUAUUUUUAGUAGAGACGGGGUUUCACUAUGUUGGCCAGGCUGGUCUCGAACUCCUGACCUCGUGAUCCACCCGCCUUGGCCUCCCAAAGUGCUGGGAUUACAGGUGCAUGCCACCAUGCCCGGCUACUUUUUUGUAUUUUUAGUAGAGAUGGGGUUUCACCAUGCUGGCCAGGUUGGUCUCGAACUCCUGACCUCGUGAUCGGCCCACCUCAGCCUCCCAAAGUGCUAGGAUUACAGGCAUGAGCCACCGUGCCAGGCAAGAACCCCUUACUGACCCCUUAGACCUUCUCUCAACCAUCACACCAGCUUGCCAUGGAGCCCAGGCUUAAUUUACCUUGGUAUCCCAGCACCCCCAAGCCCAGAGAAGCACGGGGCUUGGUAUAUGGUGGGUGUUUGCUAUAGACCAAAUGUUUGUCUUCAAGUUCAUGUGUUGAAGCCUGAUCCCCAGUGGGAUGAUACCUGGAGGUGGGACCUUUGGGAGGUGCUCGGGUCAUGACAGUGGAGCCCUCACAAAUAAGAUUAGUACUAUCAUAAAAGAGACACUAAAGAGCUGCCUUGCCCCUUCCUUCAGGUGAGGACACAGCGAGGAGUAGGCUGUCUAUGAACCAGGAAGUGGGCCCUCACCAGACACAGAAUCUGCCAGCACCUCAAUUUGGACUUCCCAGACUCCAGAACUGCAAGAAAUUAAUUUCUAUUGCUCACAAGCCACCCAGUCUAUGGUAUUCUGUUACAGCAGCUGGAGCAAACUGAGACAGUACUUGACAGUGAUUUUCAUGAAGGUUCUCCCUUGCUCAUUUUUAAGCCCACUGGUUCAGACAGAAGCCUCUGGGAGAGCCCUCCAGAGUCCACCUUGAAGGCUUCAUUCCUUCUACCCAGAGCAUCUCCGUGGAGAGGAAGAAAAAGCAUCAACGAAAUGAGGUGCCCCAGCGGUUCUGGGGAGCAAUUCCUCUCUUCAUAUGACCAUUUGGGAAACCCCCAGUGAGAUGGAGUGUGCUUUUAAGCCAUGAAAACCAUGCACAUCAGCCCCACCACAGAGGUGAGCAGAAAUGUAGAAUAUGGUGUCUCUUUCUCCUCCUUUUAUUUUCAGAGAAAUAAUUAGGGAUUCUGUGGUAGGCAGCCUCUAAGAUGGGCCCCAGUGACCCCCACUCUCCCUGUAUCCUCACCCUCAUGUCAUCCUUUCCCUGUCGGUGUGGAUCAUUCUAAGUAACUUGCUUCUAUGACUAGAAUAGGGCAGAAGUAAUGAGAUGUCACAUCUUCAUAGGUUAUAAAAAGCACUGUGGCUUCCAUUUUGGGUCCUCUGUCCUACUCUCUCUAGAGUCACACGACCCCAGGGUAACCAGCCACAUGUCACAAGGCAGCCUGUGGAGAUGCCUAGGUGGGGAGGGACAGAACCACAUGAGUGAGCUUGGAAACAGAUGCCCCCAUGCCAGUCAACCUUCAGAUAAGACCAAAGCCUCAGGUGACAGCUUGACUGCAGCCUCAUGAGCAGCCUUGAGUUACAAGCAUUCAGCUAAGCCGUGUCCAUAUUCCUGACUCACAGAAAGUGUGAGAUAACACACAUUUGUUUUAAGCUGCCACGUUUUAGGGUGACAUGUUACACAGCAAUAGAUAACUAAUACAGCUUCUUAGCCUGGCAAGAAGCAGGAAGAGUUAAGGAAUUAAGACAGGGUGAUUCUGGUGAAGAUGAGAAAGAUGCAGAUGUCAUGGGUGAAUGUCUAAUACCUGAGAAAUUCAGAAAAGGAUUUCUAGGGCAACGCAGAGUUAGAGCAGAGAAACUGAAGGCCAGGCCAGGCAUGGUGUCUCAUGCCUGUAUUCCCAGUGCUUUGGGAGGCUGAGGCAGGAGGAUCAUUUUAGGCCAGGAGUUCGAGGUUACAGUGAGCUAUGAUCACAGCACUGUACUUCAGCCUGGAAACAAAGAAGGCCACUUCUUUGUUUCCAGACUCAAAGCAAUUUAUUAAUACCAACUGCUUUGUCCUCUGACAUUCCUGUGAUUCCCGCUGAGUCACACCUCUGUAUUCACGGUGUUUCAGAAAUUCCCCAGAAUUUACACUGGCAGAGGUGAGGGCAGAGUGAGGGCCUCAUUGCUCUGGACGUUGGCGGGGCUGUCCCUCUUGGGUUUAUCUGAUGUCCACCUUUUAAUCAAUAAUGACUAGCCUAUGACAGGGACAAGGCUCAGGUCUAAUGUCUGGGCUUAUUGGAAGGCUCCUGUUCCUUUUGUUGUCUCUUCCUUCCUCAUUCCCAGAGCUGCUCUGAAUGCAGUGGGGCACCCGCCUUAUCCAGAUGUGCUGCUCACAAAAUGGACAGAAUUCACUGCUCUCUCUGUGCUUUACAACAAAAAAUGUUGAUAAGUUGCUGUUGGGACCCCUUAAAUACACUUCGGGUGAGCAGCGGUUUCCCCUGCCCAUCCCAGGCUGGAUGGAAGUCAUCCCUGCAGAGGGUAAAGCUCAGCCUCAGGGGUCAAUCUGGAUUUCUGUGGGGGCAUCUGAGGAGGCUAUCAGGUUCCCCAAAUGUGAAUUGAGUCCUGGUUCACAUCUUGGGUGCUUCACGUCGUCCCCUUCUCACCGAAGGGGAGAGACAGCUGGCUGUGGCUGGCUUCAUGUCCUAAUUCAACAAAAACAACGCACCUAAGAAAAUGCAUCUAAAUACUUCACAACAUUUCCUCCUCUAUCUGCAGAGGUUGGAGAUGAGCAUAGACAUUACUGAUUUUUGACCCUAUCAAGUGACGCCUGCUUGAGGCACCCUGCAGUACCUGCCAGUGCCUUCAGACCUGGAGCCCCCAUGGAAAAUUUCUGUCUUAUUUCCUGCUACCACCACGAUCCUUUUCUUACUUCUCAAACCCAUCUAAGCCAUAUUGAUAAUAUUUUGUACCAUCAAAUACUUUUUGUAGAAAAGCACUUUUUAUAAACAAAGCACAACUAAACUCAGGGCAAGAGAUGGCUGAACUCAUCACCUGAUAACCCUUCUUUUCCACCUCCUGCCUCCUCCUGCCUCUACCAUGUUGCCUUUUCCACCUCUGUGGCUCAUGACCACACAGGAUGCCAGGCGAGGUCAAAUACAAGGUUGCUAGGAAAAAUCAGACAAGAAAAUUAAGCAAUGGCCAAUUCUUGCCAGAAAACACUGUGAUACCCCUUUGGGUUUUCAUUGCAGGGGUCUUGAGGGCCACCCACACAGGUGACUUAAAUCUUUCACUCUCUUAUCAGUCUCUUGGGAGAGAAUGUGGAUCCACUGGAGUGGAUGUAGGCCAACCCUCUUCUAGAGAAAAGUACAGCCACACUGGAUGGUCAUUAUCAUGGUCCCCAAAGCCUCCAUAGCUGGUCUCCCUGCACCGAUCGUGUGUUUUACACCCGGUCUCCACCACUCAAUGUACCACAUAGGGGUUCAUUGCAUCUGUCACCCCCUGUGUUUUGUCCUUCCUUGUCAUCCUGGGGCUCCUGUGGUGCUGGUUGGUGUAGAUUGUCACUAGCAAGCAAGAAGGCCCCCCCACCCUACUUCUGUCCUGGGGUCACAGCCUGGCUGGCAUUUAGGGCACUUAACUCUUCCAAUGAAUCAUAUUCUCCACUCCUGCACAUAACUUCCUAGCAUGUCUCAGGAGACAUGCUGAACUCUCAGUAAACUGCUUUCGGAGAAUUAUUUAAACACAUGAAUAAGGAUAGAGAGAAAUAUAACAAAUGUCAUACGCCCACAUGGCUUUAUCAGAUCUUAAUAUUUUGCCAUAUUUGUUUCAAGCCUUUAGAAAAAAACACAUAAAACAUUACAGACACAGAUGAAGGCCUCCUUGAUCUCAUUCCCUUUCCCUACUCCUCAGAGAUGCCACAACCUUAAAUUUACUGUGUAUUAAUCUCAAGCCUGUUUUUUAGAUUUUCCUACAGUAUUCAUUCCUAAGUAAUAUAAAGUAUUGGUUUGUAAGUUUUCCAUUUUAUGGAAAUCUGUCCUGUUGUAUCUAUCUUCCUGAAACUCAUGAUUGUUUUUAGAUUUAUCCAUGCAGAUACCUGUUGCUCUAACUCCUUUAACUGCUGUAUAAUACUCAGUCAUAUGAACCUUAUCAGAAUUAAUUUGUCUAUUUUCUGCUGAUUGUUUUUCAGUUCCUUUUCAAUUUUUCACUACAGAUAAUGAUGCAGUGAAUAUUUGUGCACAUGUGUGAGAGGUUCUCCAGUCUGGAUCCAUGCUCUACAUCCUCACCAGCCCAGUAUGAGUUUCUUAUGUUUGCCUUUUGUGUCAACACUUGGUAGUGGCAGACAAAUGUUUUGGCCAGUCUGAUGUGUUGGAGGUUCUGUAGUUGAUUUUGAGUGUCAACUUGGCCGGAAUGUUUCUGUGAGGGUGUUUCUGAUGGGGAUUUACAUUGAAAUUGGUGGGCUUUCAGUAAAGCAGAUUGCCUUCCAGAGCCUGGGCAGGCUUCGUCCAGUCAGUUGAAGGCCUGAAUAGAGUAAAAGGCUGAGCUCCCUGAACAAGAGGAAAUUCUCCAGCAAACUGUUCUUGGGACUUCACCUGCAACAUCAGCUCUUCCUGGGGUCUUCAGCCUGAUGGCCUUUUGACUUGAGCUGUAGCAUUGUCUUCUCUCCGGGUCUCCAGCCUGCCAGCCCAGCAUGCAGAUUUUGGACUUACCAGCUUCCAUAAUCAUGGAAGAGAUAUUAACUUUCAUAAUCAUGGAAGUUAAUUUCUUAAAACAAAUCUCUUUCUAUAUACAUGUAAAUCCUAUUUGUUUUAUUUCACUGGAGAACCCUAAUACACAGGUGGCAUACUUUUUUGUUUGCUUAUUUCUCUGAUUACUAAGAGGUAAUCAUCUAGUCAAAUGCUCAUUUGCCCUUUGAGCUGCCUUCAUCCAUAACUUGUUCAUGUCUUUUGGUCAUUUUUUCCAUUGACUUGCCAGUGUUCAUGUAUUCUGGAUUCUGGCCUUUGUCAAUUAUAUGACUGCAUUGCAAAUACUGGUUUCUGGCUUGACAUUUAACAUUUUUUAUGAAUAAUUUAAAAAUUUUAAAAUACAAUCCUGCUUACUAAACCAAAUAGUCUGUUAAUUUUUGCAUUAAGGGUCUUUUUGUAUAUAGUUUAAGAAAAUAAUUUCUUACUCUGAGUUCAUAAAGAUAGUCUUCUACAUCUUCUUCUAAAUUAUUUGAAGUUGUUGCUUUUUACACUUAGGUAUGUAAUCAACCAAGGAUUUGUUUUUACAUGUGCGUUGAUAUAAGGAUCUAAUUUUAUUAUUCUUGUAUGGAUAACCUAUUUUUCCUAAGUUAUUUCUUGAACGAGCCCACCCCUUCUUUUUACUAAUCUGUAAUGACUCUUCCGUUAUAUAUGAAAUUUCCACAGAUGCAUAGGUCAGUUUCUGAGUUCUCUAAUUUUCUAUUGAUCUAUUCACUAUCUAUAUAUCGAUAUUGUACUAUGUUAAGUAUUAUAAAUGUAUAAUUAGUCUUGAUGAUUAUCAGCUUGUCAAAUUUCACACACAAAAAAAUCCCCUUCAAGAUUUUGGAUAGAAUUGUAGUGAAUUUAAAGAAUAAUUAGGAGAUGAUAUUGACAUCUUUCCU